rnacentral:rRNA from 1 species
AGCCUCCGUUUAUGUUGUGAUCAGCUAUGAUCAGCUCUUCAACUUGAGAGUUUGAUCCUGGCUCAGAGCGAACGCUGGCGGCAGGCUUAACACAUGCAAGUCGAGCGGGCCCUUCGGGGUCAGCGGCAGACGGGUGAGUAACGCGUGGGAACGUGCCCUUCGGUUCGGAAUAACUCAGGGAAACUUGAGCUAAUACCGGAUACGCCCUUAUGGGGAAAGGCUUGCUGCCGAAGGAUCGGCCCGCGUCUGAUUAGCUAGUUGGUGAGGUUAUGGCUCACCAAGGCGACGAUCAGUAGCUGGUCUGAGAGGAUGAUCAGCCACACUGGGACUGAGACACGGCCCAGACUCCUACGGGAGGCAGCAGUGGGGAAUAUUGGACAAUGGGGGCAACCCU